CCGCAGGUGAGAGCCACCCACCUUUGUCGCUCGCACCGUCCAUCCCUGAAACAUCGCCACGUCCCGCCACGCCCCCAAAUGUCCGUGGCCACCGGCGGCGGCGGCGUCCCCCGUGUCCAAUGCCCAAGCCCUCGCCAGCGCCGCCGACAACGCCGCUCGCUCUCCCUCACGCCAUCCUCCCGCCGCGGGGCUGCCGGCUCGCCACCGCGCUGCUGGCGCUGCUCUCGCUGCUCCUCGCCACCGCGCUGUGGCUCGUCCUCGUGCUGUCCCCGGCCCAGGCUCCCCUGGCGUCCUCCUCGUCCGCCGCGCUGUCGUACGCGGCGGCGGAUGAGGUGCUCUACGCCAGCGACGCUUCCUCCCCUCUCUUGCUCGGCCACAUCGUCUUCGGGAUCGCGGGCUCGGCGCACCUCUGGCCGCGCCGCCGCGAGUACGUCCGCCUGUGGUGGGACCCGGCCUCCAUGCGCGGCCACGUCUGGCUCGACGCCGGCGCUCCGGGGCCCAGCGCUCCGGGGGAGGGCUCCCUCCCGCCGAUCCGGGUGUCCGAGGACACCUCGAGGUUCCGGUACACCAACCCGACGGGCCACCCUUCCGGGCUUCGGAUCGCGCGCAUCGCCGCCGAGGCCGUGCGGCUCGUGGGCGGCGAGGGCGCGCGGUGGGUGGUGCUCGUGGACGACGACACCGUGCUGUCCCCGGACAACCUGGUGGCCGUGCUCGGCAAGUACGACUGGAGGGAGAUGGUGUACGUCGGGGCCCCGUCGGAGAGCCACUCGGCGAACACUUAUUUCAGUCACAGCAUGGCGUUCGGAGGCGGAGGCGUCGCGCUCAGCUUCCCCCUCGCCGCGGCGCUUGCUCGGACACUGGACGUAUGCAUUGAGAGGUACCCCAGGCUGUAUGGAAGCGACGACCGCCUCCAUGCUUGCAUUACUGAGCUCGGCGUGCCCCUUUCCCGCGAGUAUGGAUUCCAUCAGUGGGAUAUCAGAGGCAAUGCCCAUGGUAUAUUGGCUGCUCAUCCAAUCGCUCCUUUCGUCAGUAUCCACCAUGUGGAGUUUGUGGAUCCUAUAUAUCCUGGAUUGAACUCUCUUGAGAGCUUGGGGCUCUUUACAAAGGCUAUGAAAAUGGAAUCCAUGAGCUUCUUACAGCGCUCGGUUUGUUAUGAUAAAAGGCAGAAGCUUACAUUUGCUCUCUCUUUGGGUUACGUUGUUCAAGUGUACCCCAGUGUCCUUCUUCCUCCCGAAUUGGAGCGCUCCGAGCGGACUUACAUUGCUUUUAAUAGGAUGAGCCAGCGAACUGAAUUCGAUUUUGACACUAAGGAAAUUCAAAAAUCUAUGUGCAAGAAGCCAGUCUUAUUUUUCUUGAAGGAUGUUUGGAAUGAUGGGAAUAUAACUAGAGGCUCUUAUAUAAGAUCAAGUGACCGGGAUGACCUCAAAAGGAAGGUGUUUUGCUUCAGGUCACCUCCUUUACAUGACAUAGAUGAGAUUCAAGUUUCUGCGUCUCCAUUAAGCAAACAAUGGCAUCUGGCACCGAGAAGGUUAUGCAGUGCUGUGGAAGAAUCUAUUAAUGGUACACUGUUUAUGUUUGUUCGGCAAUGUGGACGCGGGACGUUUGGCUCAGCUUCUGAUUCUCUUGAUUGAUGGAAACAGAUUUGUAUAUUUUCUGUCCAGAUGAUACCUGGAAGAUGUAGUUACCAUCCUACAUUCUUUGGAUGAAGUGUUCUGGGGUCUGUUUUCCUGCCUCGAGCACUUGGGAGUGAUCAACUGCUUGUUAUACUUGAUAGGUGUGGAAGCCAAUGAUAAAUCCUGCUUGUUUUGUGGAAACAACGGCACUUUCAAGAGCUGAAAGGGGGGAUCUUCCUUUUCAGAUGCUGAAAGGGAACCCCAGUGGGCUUCGCUCUCGAACCUUCCAUUUGAGCCACUCUUGUAUGAUCCUCACGGACAGAAGCUGGGCAAAGAGACGAGGGAUCAGGGAUAGAUCAUUCGACUUGCGACACAUUGGCAAACAUUUCUUCGACGAUGCCACGCGUUUUGCGGGCCUGUGGUACCCAAAUUCUCUGAACGUGCAUGUUGUCGUGUGGCUUUAUUCUCUGAAUGUGCAUGAAAGUGUGUAUUUACUUGAUGAAGAGUGUAUUUCUGGGUGUGAGGCCCAACCGAGCCGCCACACAUGACACAUGUGCUGUUGUUCGCGAAUACUGGUCACCGUUUCCGCGGAGCUACUGCCAGUAAGGCCAAUAGUACAACAGAGUGAGGACCUGGGUUUUCUCCCUAGGUUAUCAUUCAUCAAUUAUACUCACAUUAACACGUAGUAGGGGAUAAUCGGGAUGCGUAUUAAUAGGAAACUAUGUGAUUCUAAUAUUUUCUAUCCUUGGUCUCUAUCAUUUGGCAUGCAUGUGUUUAAAUGGUGUACUCUCAUGUCCAGUGACCGACGUCGAGGCGCUUUUGAUGUGUUAUUUGCCCUGUCGGCCAGCUUUGCUUGGUCCGAUGGGAGGAUUUAAUUUGGCUUUUCCCCCCUUUUUUU